rnacentral:rRNA from 1 species
GACGAACGCUGGCGGCGUGCUUAACACAUGCAAGUCGAACGAAGUGGCGAACGGGUGAGUAACGCGUAAUCAACCUGCCCUUCAGAGGGGGACAACAGUUGGAAACGACUGCUAAUACCGCAUACUUAAGGAGGGGCUUCCGUCUGAUUAGCUAGUUGGAGGGGUAACGGCCCAACAAGGCGAUGAUCAGUAGCCGGUCUGAGAGGAUGGACGGCCACAUUGGGACUGGUAAACGGCCCAGACUCCUACGGGAGGCAGCAGUGGGGAAUCUUCCGCAAUGGACGAAAGUCUGACGGAGCAACUCCGCGUGAGUGAUGACGGCCUUCGGGUUGUAAAGCUCUGUUAAGCGGGACGCGGUACCGGAAUAGAAAGCCACGGCUAACUACGUGCCAGCAGCCGCGGUAAUUC